rnacentral:rRNA from 1 species
UGAGCAAUCUGCCCUUCUCUUCGGAAUAAGCGUGGGAAACCGCGUCUAAUGCCGAAUACGACCUCCUUUCGCAUGAUCGGAGGUGGAAAGCUCCGGCGGAGAAGGAUGAGCCCGCGGCCUAUCAGCUUGUUGGUGAGGUAAUAGCUCACCAAGGCGAUGACGGGUAGCCGGCCUGAGAGGGUGACCGGCCACACGUGGGACUGAGACACGGCCCAGACCUCCCGACGGGAGCA